GCGUGAAUCGGAACAUAGUGAUGAAUAAUAAACUUGUAGAUGAUAUAUAAAGCCUAUCGAAACAUCAAAUGACACCAAAGUUAAAUAUCUUUUCCAUUUAACAGACCACUGUUUUAUUGGCUAACAUGUUGACAAAUUUUACCACUGUGUGUGUUGUGCUGAGCGCUUCACUAAUGCUGUCGUCUGCUUUCCCGUAUGGCUUUCCUAACUUCCGAUCAUCCUACCGUGGUGGUUAUGGAUUUGGUGAUAUUGGCGGAACCUACAGCAGAUUUCCAGGUUUUGGAGGUGCUUAUUCGGCUUUCCCGUCCUAUGGCAGAAUCCAACAUCCAUACAAUACAGUAAAUUACCACCGUCAUGUAACGCCUUACUCAUACGGAGGUAGAGGUUUCCUGAAUAACUUCCUUAGUGGGUCAACAUUACCUUCAAUGGCUCUCGGAUUUUUAGUUGGAAAGGCCUUAUGAAAGAUACUCAACACAUUUACUGGAUAUUGCCAAAGAAUAGAUGACUUUUUUUGUAUAUUUAUAAACUAGAAGUUGUGAAAUAAAAAUUUCUAUCAAUUA